rnacentral:rRNA from 1 species
ACGAGACGGGAUGGAAUGACCCUUCGGGGGAAUGAAAUCCUAGAAAGUGGCGAACGGGUGAGUAACGCGUGGGUAACCUGCCCUAUGGAAAGGAAUAGCCUCGGGAAACUGGGAGUAAUGCCUUAUAAUAUACGAGAGUCGCAUGGCUUUUGUAUUAAACGCUCCGGUGCCAUAGGAUGGACCCGCGUCCCAUUAGCUAGUUGGUGAGAUAACAGCCCACCAAGGCAACGAUGGGUAACCGGUCUGAGAGGGCGAACGGUCACACUGGAACUGAUACACGGUCCAGACUCCUACGGGAGGCAGCAGUGGGGAAUAUUGCGCAAUGGGGGCAACCCUGACGCAGCAAUACCGCGUGAGUGAAGAAGGUUUUCGGAUCGUAAAGCUCUGUUAUUGGGGAAGAAAAAAGACGGUACCCAAGAAGAAAGUCCCGGCUAACUACGUGCCAGCAGCCGCGGUAAUACGUAGGGGACAAGCGUUGUCCGGAUUUACUGGGCGUAAAGGGCACGCAGGCGGUUUUUUAAGUCAGAUGUGAAAGGUACCGGCUCAACCGGUGACAUGCAUUUGAAACUGAAAGACUUGAGUAUUGGAGAGGCAAGUGGAAUUCCUAGUGUAGCGGUGAAAUGCGUAGAUAUUAGGAGGAACACCGGUGGCGA